UCUCCAGCUGUUUUUGGACUACAGUUCCCAUCAUCCCUGACCAAUGGUCCUGCUAGCUAGGGAUGAUGGGGACUGUAGUCCAGAAACAGCUGGAGA